rnacentral:rRNA from 1 species
CCUACGGGAGGCAGCAGUGAGGAAUAUUGGUCAAUGGACGAGAGUCUGAACCAGCCAAGUAGCGUGAAGGAUGACUGCCCUAUGGGUUGUAAACUUCUUUUAUAUGGGAAUAAAAUGUUCCACGUGUGGGAUUUUGUAUGUACCAUAUGAAUAAGGAUCGGCUAACCCCGUGCCAGCAGCCGCGGUAAUACGGAGGAUCCGAGCGUUAUCCGGAUUUAUUGGGUUUAAAGGGAGCGUAGGUGGAUUGUUAAGUCAGUUGUGAAAGUUUGCGGCUCAACCGUAAAAUUGCAGUUGAAACUGGCAGUCUUGAGUACAGUAGAGGUGGGCGGAAUUCGUGGUGUAGCGGUGAAAUGCUUAGAUAUCACGAAGAACUCCGAUUGCGAAGGCAGUUCACUGGACUGCAACUGACACUGAGGCUCGAAAGUGUGGGUAUCAAACAGGAUUAGAUACCCCAGUAGUC